rnacentral:rRNA from 1 species
CCCUUAGAUGUCCUGGGCCGCACGCGCGCUACACUGAGUGUCUGAGAUACGAGUCUGCCUGGUCCGGCAAGGUCUAGGUAAUCGCUAAAAGACACAUCAUGCUUGGGAUAGAUUAUUGCAAAUAUUAAUCUUGAACGAGGAAUUCCUAGUAAGCGCAAGUCAACAGCUUGCGUUGAUUACGUCCCUGCCCUUUGUACACACCGCCCGUCGCUACUACUGAUUGGAUGUUUAAGCGCGGUUCUCGAACUGCUAGCGACUUAGCUUCGGUGAGGUCGCAGUGUGGGAAGUGAACCUAGCUUUGGUGUCUAGAGGAAGUAAAAGUCGUAACA